rnacentral:tRNA from 1 species
UGUAGGUUAGAACAACUGGUAGAUUCACUAGGCUAGAAUACGAAGCUUAGAGCUAUGGGUUCGAGUCCCGUACCUGCAA